rnacentral:rRNA from 1 species
GAUCAUGGCUCAGGAUGAACGCUAGCUACAGGCUUAACACAUGCAAGUCGAGGGGCAGCAUGGUCUUAGCUUGCUAAGGCCGAUGGCGACCGGCGCACGGGUGAGUAACGCGUAUCCAACCUGCCUUACACUCUUGGACAGCCUUCUGAAAGGGAGAUUAAUACAAGAUGUUAUCCCACGAAGGCAUCCGAAUGGGAUUAAAGAUUUAUCGGUGAUGGAUGGGGAUGCGU